rnacentral:rRNA from 1 species
UACGUAGGGUGCGAGCGUUGUCCGGAAUUAUUGGGCGUAAAGAGCUCGUAGGCGGUUUGUCGCGUCGGCCGUGAAAACUUGGGGCUUAACCCCAAGCCUGCGGUCGAUACGGGCAGACUUGAGUUCGGCAGGGGAGACUGGAAUUCCUGGUGUAGCGGUGAAAUGCGCAGAUAUCAGGAGGAACACCGGUGGCGAAGGCGGGUCUCUGGGCAGUAACUGACGCUGAGGAGCGAAAGCGUGGGGAGCGAACAGG